rnacentral:lncRNA from 1 species
CGGCAUAAAGUGGACAACGACGAUGAGGUAAGCUUCGUGAUACCAGUGUUUCCCUAGGUGGUGGCCAAGAUUAUCAUCACUGAAAUUAGCAGCUUUAUCAAUGAUAAACAAAUUGAAGGGGUAAUGAUGUUGCAUCUGUUUCUGAUUUUGUACUACUUCAAGCACUAUCUUGUAGUAUAUCGGCAGCACAUGUAGUGGAGCCUCAGUAUGGCAAUGCCGUUAAACUAUUUUGUGGGACAAAUACCUCCACACCAGCUUGUCCAGAACAGAACGGUCAGACCGAAUGGUCUAACCAGUCAGAUCGGUCCAGGUGUCAUGGUUCUAUAUUUAUCAUCUCCG